AUGCUUCAGACAAGCAGUGGAAUCAAGAUGCAGUCUCAGACUCAGGUCUUCAUAUUCCUGCUCCUCUGGAUGUCUGGUGCUGAUGGGAACAUUGUGAUGACCCAGUCUCCCGAAUUCAUCUCCACAUCUAUAAGAGACAGGAUCACCCUAAGCUGCAAGUCCAGUCAGAGUGUGAAUAAGUAUAUAGCUUGGUACCAACAGAAAUCUGGGCAGCCCCCUAAACCACUAAUCUACUAUGUAUCCACUAGGCACACUGGGGUCCCUGAUCGCUUCACAGGGAGUGGAUCUGGGACAGAUUUCACUCUCAGCAUCAGCAAUGUGCAGGCUGAAGACCCGGCAGUUUAUUACUGUCAUUACUAUGACAAUACUCCUCCCACAGAUCAAGCCCUGCUUCCUCCUCAGAGUCAGAUGACUCUUGCUGAUCCUCUCCUUCGGAGGACGUCUCCUCCUCGGAAGAGGACGAUAUUGUAUAAUUUUUAA